AUGAACGCUGGCGGCGUGCCUAAUACAUGCAAGUCGAGCGAACGGACGAGAAGCUUGCUUUUCUGAUGUUAGCGGCGGACGGGUGAGUAACACGUGGAUAACCUACCUAUAAGACUGGGAUAACUUCGGGAAACCGGAGCUAAUACCGGAUAAUAUUUUGAACCGCAUGGUUCAAAAGUGAAAGACGGUCUUGCUGUCACUUAUAGAUGGAUCCGCGCUGCAUUAGCUAGUUGGUAAGGUAGCGGCUUACCAAGGCAACGAUGCACAGCCGACCUGAGAGGGUGAUCGGCCACACUGGAACUGAGACACGGUCCAGACUCCUACGGGAGGCAGCAGUAGGGAAUCUUCCGCAAUGGGCGAAAGCCUGACGGAGCAACGCCGCGUGAGUGAUGAAGGUCUUCGGAUCGUAAAACUCUGUUAUUAGGGAAGAACAUAUGUGUAAGUAACUGUGCACAUCUUGACGGUACCUAAUCAGAAAGCCACGGCUAACUACGUG
rnacentral:rRNA from 1 species